GAUGAAGAACGCAGCGAAAUGCGAUAAGUAAUGUGAAUUGCAGAAUUCAGUGAAUCAUCGAAUCUUUGAACGCACAUUGCGCCCCCUGGCAUUCCGGGGGGCAUGCCUGUUCGAGCGUCUCCGAAAGAGAAGACUCACGCGGGGGAACGCGUGGUGGUGGCGGCGGCGGCGGCCCCGAAUGGGGAGCCACCCUGUCGGAAUCAAUGGGCGGACGCCUGCCGCGAUGCCGAGCGUGAUAUGAAGCAUGGGCGCUCGAGCGCGGCGAGGCUCCCAGCCCCUGGCCCAUGGGUCUGGGCGGGGAGGGCAAGACACUGGAACUCCUCGAAUCAGGUAGGGAUACCCGCUGAACUUAAGCAUAUCAAUAAGCGGGAGGA
rnacentral:misc_RNA from 1 species